AGAUAGCAUCUCGAUGCAAGCGUGCCAGGCAAUGGAUUGCUGCUACAUGACCGAUACACUACCAAAUAUCCCUCGAUGCUACAAGAAACCAGCACUCUCUUGUGACAUUUUCCCUCCAUUUAAUCGGAAAGCUUGUUUARAGAACCCAUCCCAGUCUGAUUGUGAGACUGCUGGAUGUUGCUAUGAUACUAGCUUCUCUGGUUUACCAAAUUGUUACCAGAAAGCUUAAUUUGUGUCUGCAAUAAAUAAAAUGCACUGUUUAAUGGUCAAAAAGGGGAACAACAAAUAAACUAAUAAAGCUGUAUAGUGAAUUAGAACAUAAUAAUCAAAAAGCAKUAAAGAAUAUCAGCAUUAUUAUCGCAGUUAAUCUCGCCUUCAUUAUAUCCGUUAGUACUGUUUCA